GACGAACGCUGGCGGCGUGCCUAAUACAUGCAAGUCGAGCGCAGGAAACUGACGGAACUCUUCGGAGGGAAGGCAGUGGAAUGAGCGGCGGACGGGUGAGUAACACGUAAGGAACCUGCCUCAAGGAUUGGGAUAACUCCGAGAAAUCGGAGCUAAUACCGGAUAGUUCAUCGGACCGCAUGGUCCGUUGAUGAAAGGCGCUUCGGCGUCACCUUGAGAUGGCCUUGCGGUGCAUUAGCUAGUUGGUGGGGUAACGGCCCACCAAGGCGACGAUGCAUAGCCGACCUGAGAGGGUGAUCGGCCACACUGGGACUGAGACACGGCCCAGACUCCUACGGGAGGCAGCAGUAGGGAAUCUUCCACAAUGGACGAAAGUCUGAUGGAGCAACGCCGCGUGAGUGAUGAAGGUUUUCGGAUCGUAAAACUCUGUUGUAAGGGAAGAACACGUACGAGAGGAAAUGCUCGUACCUUGACGGUACCUUACGAGAAAGCCACGGCUAACUACGUGCCAGCCGCCGCAGUAAGAC
rnacentral:rRNA from 1 species